CAUACCAGGGAAGGAGCUGGCUCUGCCGCUCUUUCUGCCCCAACAUGCACAGACUCGGGAAGUUCUUCCUGGGGUUUUAUCUCAAAGCCUCUCCCUUACAAUUUCUGCCUCUCUUUUGGGGGAGGAGGAGGGGCGAUUAUAGAGAUAGUUAAUGUCUGCCGUAUAAGAAACAUUAUUAAAGUUACUCUCCGGUCCUUUCCCUUCUUGAUAAACAAUUCCUGCUCCUUCCUCUCGAAUUCUGUUUUUCCAUUCCUUAAGUCACUUUAAUGGCUCUUCAAUACAACAAAUAUUUACUGAGUGUUUACUAAGUACCAGGCACCUAUGCUCAGCGCCGUGGGGGAUGAACACAUGAGGGGAAUGUAGUACCCUCCCUGGAGGAGAUUGUAAUCCAGACAGGGACUGCAAAUUUGACAAGUUUGUCUUCUGCUCUGAGCUACCGGGCCCUACCAGGAGCUCCAGGGCCAGCUGGGACCCAUCCCUUUGGAGCAGCUGCUUCAGACUAGGCUAGGAAGCACUGAGCUCUAGUGGUCAAGGGAGCCAUGGAGGAGAGAGCUGGUCAGCGAGAGCAAGACAGACCCAGCCUUCGUCUGGAAAAGCUACAGCACUGGGCCAGGCACAGGCAGAGUGGGCACCUCUUGGUGCUGGCGGUGAGCCAGCUAUGGCUGGCAGUGGCUGUGGUGCCCUUUGCUAUCUCAGUUGCCUGCCUGAACUCUGCUUGUCACAUGGCCACAGCACUGCCACUUGGGCCUGGCGUACUGGGUCUCCUCACUGGGAUUGUAACCCUUGAGCUGCGCAGAGCACCCCGUCUCUGGAAGGUGCACGCCAUGAUGCUAUUCAACACCUUCAAUCUGAUCUUGGGCUUCAUUGCGUUCGUGGUCGAAGUGGUGAAGACAGCCUUGAUGUCUGCCCCAACUGUCCCCUCCCAGCUAGCCGGCUUGCUGGUGCUGGAGCUCAGUGCUGAGGCCUUCACCCUAGGGGGAGUGCUGGUCUCAGCAUACUCCCUGUUCCUGCUGAGCCAGAGGAAGCCAGGAUGCUGCCAGAGCCAGAGUCUGCACUACCAGGAGCUGCAGGAGGGUCUCUCAGAAUUAGAGGAAGUUCCUGAUUUGGAGACUGGUCCCACGGUGGCUAGCAGAGCAAACAGAACAAAUGAGGGCGCUGUGCAUCUGCUAAGUGACGCGAAGCCCUGGAAGUCGGGGCUUGGCUGAGAGUUUCUUCGGACGCGACCACUGGCCCAGCGUGCAGGGAGGAGCCGGACGGGCUAUUCUGCGCGGGGGCGCCACCACCCCAACCUCGGUAACGGAGAGCUGAUUGGGACAUGGGUUUGAGCCCUGGUCCAGGAAGAUACCACAUGCCGUGGAGCAACUAAGCCCGUGAGCCACAACUACUGAGCCUGCGUGCCACAACUACUGAAGCUCAUGCACCUAGAGCCCGUGCUCUUCAACAAGAGAAGCCACUGCAAUGAGAAGCCCACACACUGCAAUGAAGAGUAGCCCCCGCUCAGCAAUGAAGACCCAAUGCAAAAAAAAAAAAGUAGUUAUUCUAAAGUGCAUCUGGAAGAAUAAACAAAUGAAAAUGAAAGAAAGGGAAGGAAGGAAGGGCUUCUAACAAGAAGAGUAAUAAGCAUGAGGGAUCUUAGUUCCCCAACCAGAGAUCGAACCUGUGCCCCCUGCAGUGGAAGCGCAGAAUCUUAACUACUGGACCACCAGGGAAGUACCUAAAUAAAUGCAAUUUAAAACAGUACGAUGCCAUU